UUAAACUAGGGAUUAGAUACCCUAUUAUUAAAAUUUAAAUUAAUAAUACUAAAAUAGUAAAUAAUUAUUUAUUGAAACUUAAAUAAUUUGGCGGUAUUUUAGUUCAUUUAGAGGAAUCUGUUUAAUAAUUGAUAAUCCACGAAUAAAUUUACUUAAUUUUUUAUUUUGUAUAUCGUUGUUAAAAAAAUAUUUUUUAAUAAUAAUAAUAUUUAAAAAUUUUAAUUAAAAAUUAAAUCAGAUCAAGAUGCAGAUUAUAAUUAAGAAUAUAAUGGAUUACAAUAAAUUUAUUUAUAUGAAUAUUAAUUUGUAAAAUUUAAUUGAAGGUGGAUUUAAAUGUAA
rnacentral:rRNA from 1 species